UUUCCGCAGGUGAACCUGCGGAAGGAUCAUUAUUGUGUAACCGAGGUGCGAGGGCUGUCGCUGACCCGAAAGGUCGUGCACGCCCGAGUGCCCUCACACACAUCCAUCUCACCCCUAUGUGCACCACCGCGUGGGUCCCCCUUUGGCUUGUUCGGAGGGGGGCUUACGUUUUCACACAAACUUUGUAUGCAGUGUAGAAUGUAUUUUUUGUUUUUGCGAUCACGCAAUCAAUACAACUUUUAACAACGGAUCUCUUGGCUCUC
rnacentral:misc_RNA from 1 species